AUGGGCACCAGGCUUCUUGGCUGGGCAGUGUUCUGUCUCCUUGACACAGUACUGUCUGAAGCUGGAGUCACCCAGUCUCCCAGAUAUGCAGUCCUACAGGAAGGGCAGGCUGUUUCCUUUUGGUGUGACCCUAUUUCUGGACAUGAUACCCUUUACUGGUAUCAGCAGCCCAGAGACCAGGGGCCCCAGCUUCUAGUUUACUUUCGGAAUGAGGCUGUUAUAGAUAAUUCACAGUUGCCCACGGAUCGUUUUUCUGCUGUGAGGCCUAAAGGAACUAACUCCACUCUCAAGAUCCGGUCUGCAAAGCAGGGAGACACAGCCACCUAUCUCUGUGCCAGCAGUUUAUCACAGUAA